GUGCGUGUGCCGCUACAAGCCCUGCAGAGGCGGCAGUGCCCGCCUUGCUCCCGCGCGGGGCCCUGCCCCCACCCCGCUCAGAGCGGCGGGCCCCGUGUGAAUGAACUUGAUUUCGGAGGUUUGGAGGCCGGCGGUUUGUCUUGCACUCUUUCUGCGCGCGCGCAUACAUACGCGCGCACACACACACACACUCACUCGCUCACUCACAUACACACCCCACCCCCCACAUUCCGGUUUUCGGCUCGGGGUGGGUGGGGAAGAGGUGGAUGCAAAGGCUGGGCAGACAAUGGGUAGAGGAAAAGUGAGUGCCAGGGGCUCCGUGUCUACCUAGCCCGGGGCUGCGAAUGGGACCUGACAACCUAGCCCCGGGGCGGGGCCUCCCCCGCCUCCGGCUGUGUUCUGGGGCUGUUUCGAGGCUCUCCUCUGAUUCUUCUUUCCUCUUUUCCCCGCUUCCCUUACCUCGAUUUUUUUUCCCUCAACUUUCUCCUCUCUCAGUCUCUCCGGUUCCUGCCCACCGCCUCCUCCCCUUCACUCCCCACCCCCACAGCCGACCUGAAGGAACCAGUGACUUUUUCCAUCACCAAGUGGGAGUUAUCCACAUCAAGCAUUUCACAACGACACAUCAAGAAAAGUAGGCAGGUUCAAGUCAACCAUGAAAUGGUCACUUUUUAACCCCGUCCUGUCCUCAUUAGGGAAAUGCUCAAACACAGUCCGUUUUCAAAGAGCGCUCUUAAUGAGGCAAGCCUGCCAAGUCUACCAGCUGCAGCCCCCGUAAACCAAGAGCCCUAAGAAAAAAGGCGCUGGGGAAGGAGGGGGAGUUGAGGAGGCCGGGGAGCGGGGGGCGGGCAUUGAAUCUGGGAAGACAGGUAAAGUCGGGGAAAUUUAGAGAACUCCCCCGGAGUUAACCCUGUAGGGUACACACCGCUGGAAGCGGCCGCCCUGUUCCUCUAGAGGCAAAUCUUCUAAUCAGAGCUCUGACAAUGUUAAUUUCUUUUGUGUGGGUCAUUUCUUCUUUUUGAAAAGCCAGGAUAAAGUUGACAGUCUUUAUAGAGGAAAGAAAUUAGGUGACAGUCUGGGUUAAUCCAAAUACUCAUUACUCUCAGAAAUUUUUAGGCGUUAUCCUAGAUUUAAAAAAAAAAAAAAAAGUCCACUAAGCAUCACUUUGUAUUUCACAAUAUACUGCAUCCCUUUUCUCACCCUCUGACCGGAGUCUGAGGGGAAGGGGGCGGGGAAGCGCUACUGAUCAUACCAGCUUUAACUACUGGAGUUUCUCUUUGAACAAAUAUUCAAUUUAAUCGGAGUUAAUUUACCAUAAAAGACAUUCCCCUUGGCACGAAUGUACUCCUGUCCUUGAACACACCUCUUUGAAUGCCUGGACUCUUACAGAAGCCAUUAUUUCGGGGUCUCUUUAAAAAUCAAGAGCCCAUCUCUCUCUUUCUCUCCCUCCCUCCCUUCUUCCCUCCCUCCUCACCACAACACCCCCAGUGAAAUCCUGGCACCCUGAGAGUGCUCAGUUCAGCCAGAGAUCCCAGAACCAGCCGCUGUCCCCUGGCAAGAGAGGCCCAGUGCUGAGCCCUAGGCAAGUGUCUGCAGAAAGCGCUUUCCCUCCUCCCUAACAAGUUUCCCUUACCAACAGAAAACCGCUUCCUUUUGCCACCAAAACUAGGUUGCAUCCAAAAGUUUCUCACAAGCUUAAAGAAAAAUGAGAAAUUGUCAACUCUUACGCUGAAGAACCCACAAAAAUGCAGCAGCGCCAGGGGUGAAGAAGCAGCAACAGACCCAGGAAUCUUUAGAAACAUCCCGAUUUGAGGGGCCUCCAUGUGAGAGCAGAUGAUAGGCGGAUGCCAUGGUCUCCUGAGCUUUGCAGAGAAAGAGGAGCUGCAGAGGGGCUGGUGCGUCUGAAAAGACCCUUCGAGAAACAUGCACAGAGCCGGGUCACACGCACAAAUCUGAGAUGGGACAGAGGCAGACUGUGCAAUUAUAUUUCAGCAUCAUGAGUUCCCAGAUUCUGAGCAAAGAAUUUUGUGGUCCCUUUCCUUUUAAAAAUGCAAAAUAACCCUCUUUUCAUCACAGAAGCCAUCUUCUACACCUUUUGUGGGACCUCCUGCAAAAAGCAGCAGAGUUUGCUCUGUUUCUUUUAAAAAUAAAGUACUAAAGUGUCAUGCUGGAAAUUAUGCUACUAAGUGUUACAUGUGGUCUGCAGGACGCGCUGAAGUGUUCUCCCAUCAUGCAAGGGAGAAAACGAAGCUCUCUACUGGCCUCUAUCAGAGAAGCUAAAAAUUUCCCUCUCUUUCCUGCAAGUUUCCCAAACAUCAUGAUUCUGAUUUCCAGGUCAGAGAGUAAGGUUGUAUUCUUUGCAUAUGGAGAGUCCCUGGAACUGCAUUGUGAUGGGCUAAUUAUUAUGAACCUAUUGUGAGCAAGGCCAGACCCUGGGUGUGGCAGAAGAAACUUAACACACCUGCUCAAUGAUCUGCAGGCCCCAAGUGCUCCUGAUGAACAGCUCCCUCCCUGCAGCCUGGAGUUGGUGAGCAGACUCUUUCUUUGGGCUGAGCCAGUUCCCAUGAUUUUAAAGGGAUUGGGAGAAGGACCCAAUAUUUAAGAGGACUGGAAAGCUGUAUGUGGCAUUUCUGAUUUCAUUCCUAAAUGGUAGUUCCCUUAAGUAUGUGGAAAAUAAGAAACUUUGCUAAAAUUUUUAACUUGAAAAGACCAUUGGUUUGAGAGAGAUGAAAACCAUGUCCAUAUAAAAACUUGUGCGCAAAUGUACACAGAAGCAUUGUUCAUUAUAGCUCAAAAGAGGAAACAGUUCAAAUGCCCAUGAAUCAAUGAAUGAAUAAACAACCUUAGUAUAUCCCCGCAGUGAAAUACUAUUUGGCAAUAAAAAAGGAAUGAAAUAUUGAUGCAUGCUGCAGUGUUGAUGAGCCUUAAAACAUUAUGCUGAGUGAAAGAAGCCAUUCACCAAGGAGCACAUACUGUAUGAUUCUAUUUGUAUGAAAUUCCUAUAAUGGGCAAAUCUAUAGAGAGAGAAAACAGGCGAGUGGUCACCAAGGGCUGUAGGUCAGAGUGGAGGCAUGGAAGGUGACUGUUGAGUGGUUCAGAGUUUCUGCUGGGGAUGAUGAAAAUGUUCUAAAAUUAGUUGUGGUGAAUGCUGAACAACUCUGUGAAGGUACCAGAAAUGAUUGAAUUUUGCACUUUAAAUGUGGAAAUUGCAUGGUGUGCAAAUUAUAUCUCAAUAAAGCUGUUAAUUUAAAAAACUCAUACUCUAAAAAA